rnacentral:rRNA from 1 species
GGAAUUGUUCGCAAUGGGCGCAAGCCUGACGACGCAACGCCGCGUGGAGGAUGAAGGUCUUCGGAUUGUAAACUCCUGUUGCCCGGGACGAAAAGCUCCGACCUAACACGUUGGAGUCUGACGGUACCGGGUGAGGAAGCCCCGGCUAACUCUGUGCCAGCCGCCGCGGGAAGACGGAGGGUGCAAACGUUGUUCGGAAUCACUGGGCGUAAAGGGCGCGUAGGCGGACUUGUAAGUCGGGAGUGAAAACUCGGGGCUCAACCCCGAGCCUGCUUCUGAAACUGCGAGUCUUGAGGACCGGAGAGGAAAGUGGAAUUCCUAGUGUAGCGGUGGAAUGCGUAGAUAUUAGGAAGAACACCAGUGGCGAAGGCGACUUUCUGGACGGUUCCUGACGCUGAGGCGCGAAAGCUAGGGGAGCAAAC